AAUGUUAUUUGUUAUAUUGAAGGAUGUUAUGUGUUACAUUUUUUGAAUUGUGAUGCAGAGAGUUGUACAGUGGCCGAAAGGCAUCGGGCCUCCUGUACAAUAGCCUCUGCUUACUUAGCCUGGUGGUACAAACUAGACAAGAGUUUUACCAGAUCUAAUAAUGAUGUGGGAAAGAGGUUGUGGUUUGUAUCUUUCCAGAAGGAGCAACGCAACCAAUUUGGGUGCUAGAACGUUAUAUGCAUCACUACAAUGGACCCAGAGAAACUCCUUGUCCCUUCGUUCAAAAUACUGAGAAUUGCCCCAAUGACAGCAAAGCAGAAAAGGAAGGAGACUAAGGCUACGCAAGGGACUUAGGUACCAA